rnacentral:rRNA from 1 species
UACGUAGGUGUCUAGCGUUGUCCGGAUUUAUUGGGCGUAAAGAGCCCGCAGGCGGCUUGGUAAGUUCGAAGUGAAAUCUCCCGGCUUAACUGGGAGGGUGCUUCGGAAACUGCCAGGCUUGAGGCAGGGAGAGGGAUGCGGAAUUCCCGGUGUAGCGGUGAAAUGCGUAGAUAUCGGGGGGAACACCAGUGGCGAAGGCGGCAUCCUGGCCCUGACCUGACGCUCAGGGGCGAAAGCGUGGGUAGCAAACCGG